GGGGGCGGGGCCGAGGCGCCUAUGACUCCGCCCCCAAUAAACUCCCCACUCGGUAAACAAGCCGCUGCGGCGCCUGGGGCUUCUUGUGCGCGCCUGGGGCUUCUCGUGCAAGCCCGGCGCCGAGUUACAUCACGGUCCCCUGGAGUUUUAAACCCCGGCCGCCUGGUCCCCGCGGCCCUCGCCUGCCCGCCCGCCGCCUGUGUCCGAGGAGCGGAGAGUCAGCGAGGCGUCUCCCUCCCCAGGCUCCUCAGGGCAGGAAGGCCUCCAGGUUUUCUCGGGCGGCCCCUGGGACUUCGUGGAAACCGAUUCAGCUGGAGGGAAGGGGUCACGGCGUGGCCGCACAGGAACUGCACCUCAGUUUCCCCACCUGUGAAACCAGGGGGCUGCGUGAGGGUUCUGUGCCAUCCAACUAGGGGCAGGAGAGGUGCGCCCUGAGCCCGGGGCGAGGGGCCGACCCCCGAAAGAAAUGGCUGCGGCCAGAGCCGAGCUUUCUCCUUGAGCGGUGGAGCUCGCAAAAAGCCAGGUGUCCCAGAACGCAGACCCUCCCCUCCGAGGGGCCUGGGUGACCGUGAGUCGCACAGAACAAAAAGAUGACUUUGUAGUAUCCUAGCAUCUCCCCUCUCCCGAUUUGCGGCGGGACAAAGACCCUCUGGGUAGAAGGAAGACCUGCCCGCCACCCCCACAGCGGGUUUGCGCUCUGAAAAAGGUGUUGCGGCGCAAUAUCCACAGCUUGCACGUCGGAGCCUGAGUUGAGCCUCAGGCGCCCGAGGAGGCAAUGGGUCCCCGCCUGUGGCAGACAGUAGAUGGGCCAGAACAGGUCCGGAAGGCCGCAGAAGGGACGCUGGCCCCAUCGAGCCCCAGGAGGUGCCCGGUCCGGGGACUCCACGGUUUGGUGAUUCUGCACCUGCGCUCUCCAAUAAGGCAACAUCAACACGGCUUUAUUAACUGAAUGCUCGGUCAGGUCCUGAGCAGCUCCCUGAGGCGAGGCAGAGGGUUGUUGGAGAAGGCAGAGGCACUGUGCCAGUCCUCAAGAAGUUGCCAAGCCCCUCUUGGCUCCCAGCUCAGCCUGGCUGGGUCCUCCUGCAGUCCUGCCUCCCCUCCUCCACAGGACACUCAGGCCAGCAGAAGGCUGGGCAGAGGAACCUGGGGCCUGCCAGGGCUCUGGGAACUCAGGGAGGGAGCUCCACACAGGCCAAGGGUUCAGAAGACAGUGUGGCCAGUGGCCAGAAACCAUGGCUGGCCCUUGAGAGCUAUUCCCGUAGCCAGGACCACAGAAGAGCCUUUCAGCUGCCCAUUCCCCAGCCUCACUACACAGCACCUCCUGCCCAUCAAUUAGUGGCAGCAAAGCCCUCUCUCUACAAGCCCUCCCAGUAGCACCUGGCAGUAUUGCAACAGGUUCCCCAGCUCUCUCAUCCUCUCUGCCUCCUCCUGUUCCCCAGGCUCUGCUUGAUUAAAAGAUGUGCCUGAUCAUCAAAGGGGUACAGGCUGAUGUCUGGGCAAGAAAGAUAGCCCAGACGCACACAUACACAUACACCACUUCUGCAGCUGGUUAUUUCUGAUUAACAACCCACACCUGGUCAUUUGAGGGCUGUCCUAGUUGGUAUGACCCAGGUUUAGCCCAUGCAGCUGAUAUGAAUGUGACAGCUUUACAGCUCUGUAAAGCUAACCAGACCUGUACAUAGUUAAACAA
ensembl:lncRNA